CCCUACGGGGGGCAGCAGUAGGGAAUCUUCCACAAUGGACGAAAGUCUGAUGGAGCAACGCCGCGUGAGUGAAGAAGGGUUUCGGCUCGUAAAGCUCUGUUGGUAGUGAAGAAAGAUAGAGGUAGUAACUGGCCUUUAUUUGACGGUAAUUACUUAGAAAGUCACGGCUAACUACGUGCCAGCAGCCGCGGUAAUACGUAGGUGGCAAGCGUUGUCCGGAUUUAUUGGGCGUAAAGCGAGUGCAGGCGGUUCCAAAAAGCUUGUGUGUAAGCCCUUCG
rnacentral:rRNA from 1 species